UAAAACCCAAAGGAUUUGACGGUGUCCCGCCCACCUAGAGGAGCCUGUUUUGUAAUCGAUGAUCCCCGCUACACCCUACCAUUUUUAGCUCUUCAGUCUGUAUACCUCCGUCGAAAGCCUACCAUGUGAACGUUAUUUAGUAGGCCUAAGGGUCUCCCCCCCCACUAUGUCAGGUCAAGGUGCAGCUCACAAAAUGGAAGCUAAUGGGCUACAAUUUCUAACUUAGAAUAAACGGAAUACUAUGUGAAAUCAUAGUCAUGAAGGCGGAUUUAGUAGUAAAAAGAAAAUAGAGAGUUCUUUUUAACCCGGCUCUGGGACGUGUACAAACCGCCCGUCACCCUCUUCGAUAAAACUGAACUAGUCUAUAACCCAACUACCACACCUUAGAGGAGGCAAGUGUACAUGGUAAGUGUACUGGAAGUGUACUGG
rnacentral:rRNA from 1 species